rnacentral:rRNA from 1 species
GCGCGGAAAGUCCGGCGUGAAAGCCAGGGGCUCAACCUCUGGACUGCGUUGGAUACUUCCGUGCUUGAGGACUGGAGGGGAGACUGGAAUUCACGGUGUAGCAGUGAAAUGCGUAGAUAUCGUGAGGAAGACCGGUGGCGAAGGCGAGUCUCUGGACAGAUCCUGACGCUGAGGCACGAAGGCUGGGGGAGCGAACAGGAUUAGAUACCCUGGUAGUCCCAGCAGUAAACGAUGUGAGCUUGAUGUGGGGGGAUUCGACCCCUUCCGUGUCGAAGCCAACGCGAUAAGCUCACCGCCUGAGGAGUACGGCCGCAAGGCUAAAACUCAAAGAAAUUGACGGGGACCCGCACAAGCGGUGGAGUAUGUGGCUUAAUUCGAUGCAACGCGAAGAACCUUACCUGGCCUUGACAUGCAUUGUGUCGUCGGUGAAAGCCGGCUAGUCCUGGAAACAGGACGCUUUGCACAGGUGCUGCAUGGCUGUCGUCAGCUCGUGUCGUGAGAUGUUGGGUUAAGUCCCGCAACGAGCGCAACCCUUGUGGUCAGUUACUAACCGGCUUAGCCGGAGGACUCUGGCCAGACUGCCCUGUCAAACGGGGAGGAAGGUGGGGACGACGUCAAGUCAGUAUGGCCCUUAUGGCCAGGGCUGCACACGUACUACAAUGCCCGGUACAAUGUGAACCGAAACCGCGAGGUGGAGGAAAUCGCUCUUGAAAACCGGGCCCAGUUCGGAUUGGAGUCUGCAACUCGACUCCAUGAAGUCGGAAUCGCUAGUAAUGGCGUAUCAGCAACGACGCCGUGAUACGUUCCCGGGUCUUGUACACACCGCCCGUCACAUCAUGGAAGUCUCCUGUACCCGAAGCACGUGCGCCAACACUUUCAGGAGGCAGCGUUCGAAGGUAUGGGGGG